rnacentral:rRNA from 1 species
CGGACGGGUGAGUAACGCGUGAGGACCUGCCUCUAGGACGGGGACAACAGUUGGAAACGACUGCUAAACCCGGAUGAGCCGAAAGGUAAAAGAUUAAUCGCCUAGAGAGGGGCUUGCGUCUGAUUAGCUAGUUGGUGAGGUAAGAGCCCACCAAGGCGACGAUCAGUAGCUGGUCUGAGAGGAUGAUCAGCCACACUGGGACUGAGACACGGCCCAGACUCCUACGGGAGGCAGCAGUGGGGAAUUUUCCGCAAUGGGCGAAAGCCUGACGGAGCAAGACCGCGUGGGGGAGGAAGGUUCUUGGAUUGUCAACCCCUUUUCUCAGGGAAGAACACAAUGACGGUACCUGAGGAAAAAGCAUCGGCUAACUCCGUGCCAGCAGCCGCGGUAAUACGGGGGAUGCAAGCGUUAUCCGGAAUGAUUGGGCGUAAAGAGUCCGUAGGUAGUCAUCCAAGUCUGCUGUUAAAGAGCGAGGCUUAACCUCGUAAAGGCAGUGGAAACUGGAAGACUAGAGUGUAGUAGGGGCAGAGGGAAUUCCUGGUGUAGCGGUGAAAUGCGUAGAGAUCAGGAAGAACACCGGUGGCGAAGGCGCUCUGCUGGGCUAUAACUGACACUGAGGGACGAAAGCUAGGGGAGCGAAUGGGAUUAGAUACCCCAGUAGUC